rnacentral:rRNA from 1 species
AUUGAACGCUGGCGGCAUGCCUUACACAUGCAAGUCGAACGGCAGCACGGGAGCAAUCCUGGUGGCGAGUGGCGAACGGGUGAGUAAUAUAUCGGAACGUGCCCAGUCGUGGGGGAUAACGCAGCGAAAGCUGUGCUAAUACCGCAUACGAUCUACGGAUGAAAGUGGGGGAUCGCAAGACCUCGCGCGAUUGGAGCGGCCGAUAUCAGAUUAGCUAGUUGGUGGGGUAAAAGCCCACCAAGGCGACGAUCUGUAGCUGGUCUGAGAGGACGACCAGCCACACUGGAACUGAGACACGGUCCAGACUCCUACGGGAGGCAGCAGUGGGGAAUUUUGGACAAUGGGCGCAAGCCUGAUCCAGCAAUGCCGCGUGCAGGAUGAAGGCCUUCGGGUUGUAAACUGCUUUUGUACGGAGCGAAACGGCUUCCCCUAAUACGGGGAGCUAAUGACGGUACCGUAAGAAUAAGCACCGGCUAACUACGUGCCAGCAGCCGCGGUAAUACGUAGGGUGCGAGCGUUAAUCGGAAUUACUGGGCGUAAAGCGUGCGCAGGCGGUUAUAUAAGACAGAUGUGAAAUCCCCGGGCUCAACCUGGGACCUGCAUUUGUGACUGUAUAGCUAGAGUACGGUAGAGGGGGAUGGAAUUCCGCGUGUAGCAGUGAAAUGCGUAGAUAUGCGGAGGAACACCGAUGGCGAAGGCA